GUAUAUCAGGCACUGUGAAUCCAAAGAUGACUAGCUGAGUCAGCUUGCAAGUUCCUCACUUUUGUAAAGGAGUCAAAAGAACAGAUAAAGUAAAAUUCCAGAUGGAAACCAGAGACAGCCUGUUUUGAUGAUGUAGCCUUUGCUGGCAAUCCAGAAGCACGAACACGUGGGGAGAGCUGCUGUUAGAAGGUCUCCCUUGAAAUGCAAAUGAUGGCUGAUGAUACAAGUUCUGAAGUGCAAGGAGAAUGCAUCUGAUGGAGAUGCAUGGAGAGGUAAAGAGAAGAAGAAGGAAGAAGAGGGAGGGUGAACAUGAAA
rnacentral:lncRNA from 1 species